UAAAAUCAAAUAACCAGACUAAGUAUGUAGAACUGCCUGUAGAGGACUCGCGGACGGGGGUUCAAUUCCCCCCGCCUCCACCA
rnacentral:tmRNA from 1 species